CUCUCUCGAAUAUAUCAACCUCAUGAGUGUAUUAUAUGUGUAUAUAUAUAUAUAGUUGCAAUGGGUUGGGAUGACAGAAGUGGAAGAUAAAUUAAUGAGUAGGGCCAAAGGGUUGCAGCAAAGAGAAGCCAAGUCUAUGGCAAACACUAAAGGAGAUAUAAGAAUGAUGGAUACAUCUGACAUGUUCAUCGAUUUCUUGCCCAUAAGUCUAGGGAGAUGAGCUUGUGAAAAGUUGAGUGUGGACAUGGCAGGGCAGGUAGCAGCAGAAGCAAAGUCGUCUAUGAAAGAGAAGAAGAAAUUGGAUCUUGGUUUUGCCCUUUUUUUUGUAUUAAUUUAUGUAUUUAUGUUGAAAUGAUUUGCGUUGUUUUGCUUCUCACAUCACAUGUCACUCUUAGUAAUGUUGUCCCCACUCAAUAUCUCAUCCCACAUGUCACGCUCACAUAUUACUUGAUUCGAAUUAUUUAACUCAAAACAGUAAAUUUUACUUA